UAUGGUAGCCAGCCGCCGCGGUAAUACGGAAGGUCCGGGCGUUAUCCGGAUUUAUUGGGUUUAAAGGGAGCGUAGGCCGGAGAUUAAGCGUGUUGUGAAAUGUAGACGCUCAACGUCUGCACUGCAGCGCGAACUGGUUUCCUUGAGUACGCACAAAGUGGGCGGAAUUCGUGGUGUAGCGGUGAAAUGCUUAGAUAUCACGAAGAACUCCGAUUGCGAAGGCAGCUCACUGGAGCGCAACUGACGCUGAAGCUCGAAAGUGCGGGUAUCGAACAGG
rnacentral:rRNA from 1 species